AUGACUAUAACAACACAACUAAACGCCCUAGAAAUACAAAACUUGGCAACACAACAACGCAUCGUGACUAUAACAACACAACUAAACGCCCCAGAAAUACGAAACUUGGCGACACAAUGCAAAAGCCUUCCCUCCCGGUUGGAACAACACAACCACACCACAAAACCACAAUCCGGACCCAUAAAACUCACAACAAUGCAUCGUGACUAUAACAACACAACUAAACGCCCCAGAAAUACGAAACUUGGCAACACAACACAAAAGCCUUCCCUCCCGGUUGUAACAACACAACCACACCACAAAACCACAAUCUGGACCCAAAAAACUCACAACAACGCAUUGUGACUAUAACAACACAACUAAACCGGAUGGCCAUCUGUCUGAAAGGUUUGGGUGGGUUCUUCCUCCAUGACAAAAAGAAAGAAAGGGGUUGGACUGGAUGCAAACUACAAAUUCCAGCACCCCAUGGCAUGGAGUCCAUGCAUUUCAAUUAAAGGCCUCUUCCUUCUCCCUUUCCCUGCCAUCCAACCCAUUGACCCAGUUCCAUGGCUCCACAGGCAGGAAAGGCUGGGAUGGAUAGAACGAAGGAAGGAGGGAGGGAAGGGAAGCAAAGGAACGCCAAGUACAAGAGCCCUUCCUCUCUGCCCGGAAGGCCAAGAGCAAAAGGGAGAGAAAGGCCAUUGAUCCGGUUAUAUUUACCCUCCUUUCUGACCAGUGUGUUCUUAUCAGCGAGCUCAGGAUCGGAGCAGAGAAAGGGAACAGCAUAGGAAUAAAGGAAACAAAGAGAGCACCCACUCUAUCUAUCCAUCCACUCACCCACUAAUAAUAAACACCUACACAGGCAACAAUCAGCCAUGCACUGAGUCUACAAGGCCAUUCAGUGCUCAUCCACCUCCCCAAUCCCUACAUUCACACUUGGCCUCCAAAAAAACAAUUACAAUAACAAUGACAACAACAACAACAAGAAUCAACACCAUCACAGGCAAGAAGCAGCCAGGCACUGAGGCUGAGAGGCCAGUCAGUGCUACACUGGGCCUCCAAAAAAACAAUACAGUAGCAUCUAACUUAUCCAGCCUUCAUGACCUCUACAACAACAACAAUAAUAAACACCUACACAGGCAAAACAAAAAAGAGACUAUUGUACCACAAUAAGAUGUAAACCGCACUCAGCAGAAUCAGACGUCACGAUUAACAACAAACCAAAGACAACAGGGAUCUCAAGCAAUUAUCAAUCAACACAAAAAUUGAAGAAGGUAACAGACUUCAAAUACUACUACUAAUGUGAGUAUAAAGAAGGGUGGAGGUCACAGCAUAAAUACAACCUAAUGUAGAGUGACCAACACCACCAGACUAAGCCACAGCAAUGCGUGGCCGGGCACAGCUAGUAGCUUUAUAAACAAGCACCUUGGUAUGGAUGUCACUUGUGCAAGUUGCCCAGUUCAUUCGUAUUUUUUUUCUUUCUCCUGUUUAAACAAUGUUUGCUAUUUUAUCCUUAUAUGUUAAAAUUUUAUAUUUGCGCGUGGUUUUGUUAUUGAUGUUUUAUGUUGUUAUUGUAUUACUGUAUUGACCUGGACUCGACCCCAUGUAAGCCGCCCAGAGUCCCUUCAGGGAGAUGGAGGCGGAGUAUUAAAAAAUAAAAUAAAUGUCCCAAUCUUCAAACACUCUCUACUUCAUUCAGAGAAAUGCUGCACUCGCAGAGCUCAGGCAGUGUUGUAUUUUGGCGUCAAUUUUGAAUUUUGUGGAGAGGUGGCUGCCAAGGUAGCAGAAAUGGACAACAAUUUUUCAUGUUACACCAUUAAACUGUAUUCCUGGCAUUGCAGAGAUUGGCUUGUGACUGCUGGAACAGCACUUUGGUUUUCUCAGACUACACAGAGAAGCCACUGAAAUCCACAAUUUAUUUAUUUAUUUGCAGUAUUAUUAUUCCGCCCUUCUCAUCCCAAAGGGGACUCAGGGUGGAUUACAAUGCACAUACAUAUGGCAAACAUACAAAGACAAAUAGAGGCUAUUUUUAACAUUUUUCCAGCUUCCAGCUUCAUGAGGGUAUGCUUGAUUCCAGCCACAGGGGGAGCUGCCACUUCAUCAUCCACUGUAAUCCCAAGUCCUUUUGAUGGUAGAACUAACUCAUGUUCUUUGCACACCGUAGACAGUUUUAUGCUAUCAUAAAUUAAGUUAGUUCAGUGCCUUACAAGUCGCCCAGUCUUCUGUGUGCCCUUGGGUGUGUGUGUGUCUCAUUCAGUAACAACCACUGAUUGAGGUCCCGGGUUUUAGCCUGCCACUUUUGGACUCUCGCUUAAAGGGGUGUUCCUGUGAGUAUCUGUAGAUCUUAGAAAGCUGUUUCUUGAUUUAAGUCGUUGGCAUGCUGGCUGAUAUCCGAACAGGGAAUGAACCGGAGAUGUCACUGCCUUGGCCCUUUCAUUGCUGGGUGCUGCUUCCCGGUGGAUAUCAGGUGGUGCAAUACUGACUAAGCAGUAUAAUUUCUCUAGUCAUGUUGGGCAUAGACAUCCUGUGAUAAUGUGACAUGUCUCAUUAAGAGCCACAUCCACUAUUUUAAUGUGGUGAGAUGUAUUCCAUACUGGGCAUGCAUAUUCAGCAGCAAAGUAGCAAAGUGCAAGGGCAGAUAUCUUAACUGUGUCUGGUUGUGAUCCCCAGGUGGUGCCAGUCAGCUUUCAUAUUAUAUUCUUUCUAGCAUCCACAUGUUGCUUGAUAGUUAAGCAGUACUUCUUGUAAGUCAGAGCACGUUCUAGAGUAACUCCCAAGUAUUUUGGUGUGUUGCAAUGCUCCAGUGGGAUUCCUUCCUAGGUAAUCUUCAGACCUCUAACUAAAAAGGGCUGAAAUAGGGGUAAACAAUGAGAGUUCUUGCGGAGGCACAACAGUGGCUAACAUGUUCCCUCUUGAUCUUACUCAGGCUAAAUAUACCCAGCUUCCCAAACAGUGUAACAUACAACAUGGUUUCCAGACUUUUGUCUGUAUUGCUCAUAUUAUUUUAUCUGUUUGCCAUUCUGAGGUCUCAAGAUGAAGGGGUAAAUUAAAAAUAUUUAAUUUUUUUAUUUAAAAAUAAUAAUUUAUACAACUCUAGGCAGGAAUUCAUUUUUAACAGAACACUACAGAGAUAAUUUUUAUUGGAACCAAUGGGACUAGCUUAAAUAUAACUAUUAAUAAUCAAGUGUAAAUCCAACAUUUCUGCUGAAACUUUGCAUAAUUAUGUUUACAAACCUUUGAGAAUCAUUCCCUUUUACUAAAAAAGUUCAAUGGGGGAAGUAAGAUAUAAAUGUAGCAAACAUUUAUUUACAAAACUGGGCAAAUAAUUUGCAUCUGUCAAAAGACAAGUUAACAUUAUACGGAGGAAAUUUUCCAGGUGAUAUGAAAGUCACUAUUGAAAUUUCAUGCUCUCACACUUUUAAUUUUCUAGCACUCUCCUUUGAAACAGCAGAAAGAAGCCAUUGCUCAGUAAACAGCUGCAUUUUAAAAAUAAUGGUGUCUUAUACAUCACUGUUACUUUUAAUGCUAUUUAUACCAAUACAGUUAACCUUUAUAGAACUUAGAAAAGCAAUUGUUGAACUUCAACUUCCAGAAGCUGCUCAGCAUAGCAAUUGGCCUUGCUGGUUGGGGAUUUUAAGAAUGUAGCUCCUGAAAGAAAACUUUCUACAUUCUACAUUCAGGCUUCUUUCUAGUAGUUUAUAUAGAUUUCUUUCCUUCAAAUUUUGGCUGAGCAACUGCAUCAGUGACCCUCAAAACUGGCAAAAGGAAAAUGCCAGUAAGUGCAUGAGCCUAGUAUCUCUUGGAACUAUAUUUCAAACAUUAUAUACUCAAAGUAAAUACAAUAUUAAAUGCCAUACACUGUAGCUACUGGAAGAAUAUUCUGCAGUUAUGUUGCAUUUGAACAUGCUCCACAACUUAUACUGUUAAAACGAUUGAAUGAUUUGAACAAGCAGUCAUUUAUGUUGUGUUAGUAAAUUACAAUAUCUAAAUUAUAUUAUCUAUGCAGACCAACACUAGAAUUUUAUAUUGUAUCCAGAUAAUUAUAAAAUAAGUUAUAUUUAUCUUAAUUGAGAGGGGUGGUAGAAAAAGCAAGAAGCUGAU
ensembl:lncRNA